rnacentral:rRNA from 1 species
GAUGAACGCUCGCUACAGGCUUAACACAUGCAAGUCGAGGGGCAGCAUGGUCUUAGCUUGCUAAGGCCGAUGGCGACCGGCGCACGGGUGAGUAACACGUAUCCAACCUGCCGUCUACUCUUGGACAGCCUUCUGAAAGGAAGAUUAAUACAAGAUGGCAUCAUGAGUCCGCAUGUUCACAUGAUUAAAGGUAUUCCGGUAGACGAUGGGGAUGCGUUCCAUUAGAUAGUAGGCGGGGUAACGGCCCACCUAGUCUUCGAUGGAUAGGGGUUCUGAGAGGAAGGUCCCCCACAUUGGAACUGAGACACGGUCCAAACUCCUACGGGAGGCAGCAGUGAGGAAUAUUGGUCAAUGGGCGCAGGCCUGAACCAGCCAAGUAGCGUGAAGGAGGACUGCCCUAUGGGUUGUAAACUUCUUUUAGAAAGGAAUAAAGUCGGGUAUGUAUACCCGUUUGCAUGUACUUUAUGAAUAAGGAUCGGCUAACUCCGUG